UACGUAGGGUGCGAGCGUUAAUCGGAAUUACUGGGCGCAAAGCGUGCGCAGGCGGUUCGCUAAGACCGAUGUGAAAUCCCCGGGCUUAACCUGGGAACUGCAUUGGUGACUGGCGGGCUAGAGUACGGCAGAGGGGGAUGGAAUUCCGCGUGUAGCAGUGAAAUGCGUAGAUAUGCGGAGGAACACCGAUGGCGAAGGCAAUCCCCUGGGCCUGUACUGACGCUCAUGCACGAAAGCGUGGGGAGCAAACAGG
rnacentral:rRNA from 1 species